ensembl:lncRNA LINC01473 long intergenic non-protein coding RNA 1473
AGGCAGGACCCCUUCAGGAAUGAGGUGUUAUGAUCUAUCAGGUGAAGGACAUGUUUGCUUCCCUUUCCACCAUGAUUGCAAGUUUCCUGAGGCCUCCCUAGCCAUGCUGAACUAAGAUGAUAUGUGAGCCUGAACUCUAAGCCAUCUCUUUGAGAUUUAUGCAUUUCUGUGGACAUUUACCAGAUUUUAUCUAUAUAACAGAAAAAGAACAAAGGAUCUUGUUGAGAGGUGAAGCCAGCUGGACUUCUGAGCACAGUUUUUAAAGUAUCUAGUGUAUAUAAGGACAAGCCAUUCUCAGUCAAGCAUGAAACUGAAUCUGAGCAGGAAAAGAAGAAAGCUGAAAACACACUGAGGAUUAUGGGAGAGGGGCAAGUGCAUGAAGCUUCUCAAUGACAUACAGACACUCUAAAAGCUCAAGAGAUCAAUUAUUCAACUUCAAGAACUGAAAUUUGAACACAGAUUUUGAGCUUCCAAAUCAGGAGAAAAAGAAGUGUUCUAUAAGAAGUUUGGACAAGACUCUGCAAGAAGUUAAGAGGUCCUUAAAGGCAACUGUGAAUUAACGGAGACUAGUUUUGAGAAAAUCAGUCCUGAUUUGUUUCUCCUGGAGUUUUCUUCUUUAUGUGAUCCUUCAUAAAAGCUGCUAAUAUGGGAAAGAUUGAAAUCAGCAAGUUUCUGGCUGUAAGCUAAAAGAGGCUCUUGAAUCAUAUUUCCGCCUGCUUAGCAAAUUUCUCUUGCGACAAUUGGAUGUUAUUUGGGGUUCCAUACUAGCAGGAAGAAGUACAAGCAAAGCUAAGUCAUUUUGAGAAUAAAUAUUAUCUCUCUAUAUAUUUGUAAAUGUUAUUUUCUUUUUUUUUGAGGUUUAUGAUUGAUCCUUGGCAUGUGUCCCCUUGUGUAUUGCUCUACUAAAAAUAGCCUAAAAAAGAAUUUUCCCCUCGAUGUGGAGCUUCUCUUUAGUUACAAUUCUACUUUCUCCUUCACUUGAGUAUCAGUCUUCAGAGAACUACCAUAACAAAGGAGUGGAUACAGAUAUACGCAAAAAAGUCUAUGAGAAAAUUAGUACAUUAAAUUUGUGAAAGCUCAUUUAAAGUAAUUUUCUACUAACAAUUUUAAUCAAAUGUAUUAAUCAUAUUUCUAUGCUUAGUGAUGUUAAAUAAAAAUUUAAAAGGUGGCAAUCAAUAAACAGAGAUAAAAGCUUCUCAAGAAUAAAUGAAAGGAAGUAAUAAAAAGACUCACUAAGCUGAAUUGCCUCCUAUCAACAGCAGCUGAUAAAAUAUUAAAAGAUUUGCCUUGUGUAAUGUCUCUGGAGAGCUGUCUUACUGAUGUACGAGGCCAUGAUUGACAACUUUGAGACUUUGCUGGAAGCGACAAAAGUAUAUCUAUAAUAUUAUGCUGAAUUGCAUAGGUCUUUCUUCUUAAAUGAGGCUAGAAAUAACAUACCACCAAGUGUUUGGCUUUUAGGAAAUUGAGCAUUUUCUUUAGUUCUAGCUGCAGUUUAAUUUCCUCAGAAUUAGACAUUAUGCGGUAUCUGGAACGUUAAAAAAAAAAAAAAGCAAAAA